rnacentral:rRNA from 1 species
GUUGUUCUCAGUUCGGAUUGUAGUCUGCAACUCGACUACAUGAAGCUGGAAUCGCUAGUAAUCGUAGAUCAGCAUGCUACGGUGAAUACGUUCCCGGGUCUUGUACACACCGCCCGUCACACCACGAGAGUUUGUAACACCCGAAGCCGGUGGAGUAACCAUUUAUGGAGCUAGCCGUCGAAGGUGGGACAAAUGAUUGGGGUGAAGUCGUAACAAGGUAGCCGUAUCGGAAGGUGCGGCUGGAUCACCUCCUUUCUAAGGA